rnacentral:rRNA from 1 species
UACGUAGGUGGCAAGCGUUGUUCGGAAUUACUGGGCGUAAAGGGCUCGUAGGCGGCCAACUAAGUCGGAUGUGAAAUCCCCAGGCUCAACUUGGGAACUGCAUCCGAUACUGGAUGGCUUGAAUUCGGGAGGAGGAUGCAGAAUUCCAGGUGUAGCGGUGAAAUGCGUAGAUAUCUGGAGGAAUACCGGUGGCGAAGGCGGCAUCCUGGACCGACAUUGACGCUGAGGAGCGAAAGCUAGGGGAGCAAACGGG